UCUGGUAGUUAUGGCGAGAAGGUCACACCCGUUCCCAUCCCGAACACGGUAGUUAAGCUUCUUUGUCCUCAUAUUG
rnacentral:rRNA from 1 species